UAGCUAUUUAGGUUAGAGUUUGAUCAUGGCUCAGGACGAACGCUGGCGGCGUGCUUAACACAUGCAAGUCGAACGCGAGUCUUUUCUUCGGAGGAGGGCUCGAGUGGCGGACGGGUGAGUAACACGUGAAUAACCUGCCUGGGUGUGGGGGAUAGCCUUCAGAAAUGAGGGAUAAUACCGCAUAUAUUCGUGAAUUUGGGAGACCGAAAGCGCGAAGGAAGCUAUUGCGUCGCAGGGCGUGAUGGCGCAGCCAGAGGGGUUCGCGGCCGAUUAGCUAGUUGGUGUGGUAAGAGCGCACCAAGGCGACGAUCGGUAGCUGGUCUGAGAGGAUGGUCAGCCACACUGGGAUUGAGAACGGCCCAGACUCCUACGGGGGGCAGCAGUGAGGGAUCUUCGGCAAUGGGGGCAACCCUGACCGAGCAACGCCGCGUGCGGGACGACGCCUUUCGGGGUGUAAACCGCUUUUCUGGGGGACGAGGGAGUACGGACGGUACCCCAGGAAGAAGUCUCGGCUAACUACGUGCCAGCAGCCGCGGUAAUGUCGGGCCCA
rnacentral:rRNA from 1 species